UGGCCAUCCCCCAAAUCCUGCCCAGGGCCGAGGUCCCAGGAGCCCUAUGCUGUGGGAGGAUGGGGACAGGCGAGUGUGUGGCUCCAGUGUCCAGACAGAAGAAAAGGAGAGUUUCCCCUGAAGACCGCUGCCAUCCUCUCCCGGAGUCCUGACCUCACCUUUGGGUCAUAGUCAAGCUCUGUGAAUUGACAUCUCUUCAGCAGUGCCGGCCUCACCGCAGGUGCAGCUACGCUGCCCACAAUAACAAGGAAGACUUUAUCUGCUGGCCACGCACGUGUGCAGCGGCAGGGCUGGGUUUUCUGGAGCCUCUUCCACACUGUGGCCUGCUCAGCUGCCCACGGAGGGACGGCCUGGCAGCCUGGCGGGCACGCCCACCUCUAAAGUCCUGGGCCUCAGUGGGGAGGCUGAGGGCAGGCACAGGGUGCCCAGGGGGCGAGUUCCAUCCCUGGCUGUCUGUUCAGGGCCUGCCGGGAGGGAGCCUGAGGGGCCCGGCUGGUUACCAGACACCCCCCUAGCUGCUCAACCAGGACCCCUCCAGAUGCCGCCGCGAAACUCCCCAGGUGUGGCAAACAAGUCCCGGGCCCUCAGGGGUGGUCGACCAGUCUCCCCGCCCCCGGUGACUGAUCAAAGCACGACUCCCACCCCAGCUCCAGGGACCAGGCAGGGAAACUUCCAAAGAACUGGCUGUGGC
rnacentral:lncRNA from 1 species